UACGUAGGGGCAAGCGUUGUCCGGAUUUAUUGGGCGUAAAGAGCGUGUAGGCGGCCAGACAGGUCUGCUGUGAAAACUCGAGGCUCAACCUCGAGACGCCGGUGGAAACCGUUUGGCUAGAGUCCGGAAGAGGAGAGUGGAAUUCCGGGUGUAGCGGUGGAAUGCGUAGAGAUCCGGAAGAACACCGGUGGCGAAGGCGGCCUGCUGGGCAGUGGCUGACGCUGAGGCGCGACAGCGUGGGGAGCAAACAGG
rnacentral:rRNA from 1 species